UACGGAGGGUGCAAGCGUUAUCCGGAUUCACUGGGUUUAAAGGGUGCGUAGGUGGAUUGGUAAGUCUGUGGUGAAAUCCCCGAGCUUAACUUGGGAACUGCCAUGGAUACUAUUAAUCUUGAAUGUCGUGGAGAUGAGCGGAAUAUGUCAUGUAGCGGUGAAAUGCUUAGAUAUGACAUAGAACACCAAUUGCGAAGGCAGCUCGUUACGCGAAUAUUGACACUGAUGCACGAAAGCGUGGGGAUCAAACAGG
rnacentral:rRNA from 1 species